UUCCUGCUUAGUCAGCCAUGAGGUUAAGCAGCUGAUUCACUAUUUGUACUUUAUACAAGACUUGGGUUCGCCGUGGCAACCUUGAUGUAAAAAUUUAAUCAUGUAACGGUGUUCUUUGCACUUGCUUGGUCAAUAGAAUUACCAGGCGUAAUGGUACGGCGUAUGGUAAGCUGUUAAUAUUUACUUUUUGUCUUAACAUUUAAUAAGUGUAUCGCACGCAAGUACAAACUUGGAUAUAUUAUUUACUUUGUAUUGCUUCUUCUGUAUAACAUUCUCUUUUGAAUAUCGACAGUCGUCACAGAUGCUAAUUCAGUUUUUGUUAAACGCGUUAAACGUGUUAAACGCGUACGUAGAAUACGUAAGCACCGGGGAAUUACCAUUCUUAAUAAAGUAUUCGCCUUGUCAAAUAUUUCGAUUCCUUUGGGCAAGUACAUAAAAAUUUUUUUUGUGUAAUUGCCAUGGCCGCCAACUGCUCCGCCACAAGCAGCGAAGACUGUUAUGGGAGAAAUUGCCAGUACACCUACAACGAUAAAAUCUUCCUCGGGAAGGGCGCUUUUGGUUUUGUAUACCAAGCAUCGAUUACGCAUCAUGGGGAUGGCGCAGAAAUACGAGGAGAUGUUGCCGUUAAACGUUGUCAUUUUUCAAAAAUGCCGGAUCCCGUGCGCGAUCGGGAGAACUGGGUGAAACGUCGUGCACGAUGGGAGAAUUUGAUCAAGCUGAAGCAUCAACGAUUGUUAACGUACUACAAAAUUUGUGUGUUCCAGUCACCAGGAGGAGCAAGUGUUGAAUAUCUAAUGGAUUACUGCAGUGGUGGAGAUUUGGCGUCGCUCUUGGGAAGCUCUAAAAGCAAAGAAUAUCAACUCGACCAGUUGGAAGCCUUGUGCUAUGUUACGCAGAUUAUUGAUGGUAUCCAAUACUUACAUGACAAAAAGAUCAUCCAUGGAGAUUUGAAGCCGGGCAACAUUCUUCUAAACAAUGUAAAGCCAGAAAAACACCAUCACAGCUUACUGAUAGGUGAUCUGGACGACCUUAUUCCGAUGCAGCAGAGCAUCAGUAAUCCGAGUGACUUUCCCACCGUUCACGGAAGUUUUCGCUACACGUCUCCAGAAUGUCUCAAGAAAAUGGGCUCACAGGAAUGUGAUAAUCUUGGGAGAAAAUCGGACAUUUGGAGCAUUGGAUGUAUUAUCCACGAUCUCGCCAACUGUUGUUUUGAUGUGCCAGACAAAAUCCUUGUUAAAAAGGGAAGUCCACCACUGUUCACUAAUGGUCUUAGUGACUACGUUUUUGCAAUGAGAAUAGUGGACGGCUACGUCCCUGAGACUGAUGAUAGAAUUUUCACAUCGUUUAAAGAGAUGAUUAAACGUUGUUUAGAAGUAGAUAGCAGAAAGAGGCCUUCUGCAACCGAGUUGAUGCGUCUACUCUUAAGAGAAUUACGCGAACUUGGCGUUAGCCAGCACGAAGGUGCGGUGCAAUGCAGUGUCUGCGGAAUGUUAAACGCUCAAAGUAACCAGAGUGCAGAAUGUUCAGAAAGAGAGAUCGACAUCAAUUCCACCGACGACAACCGUACAGAAGAUGCGGUGGACCAUCUGACACCGUUGAAUGUGACAGUACUCCGGGAAAGUGUCAGGAAUGUCCAGGAGAUGCCCGCUCAAUCGCCAACCGAUAAUGCAACUGCGUAUUAGGAGGCGGAGCUGCGGCGCGAGCGGAGCUCGCGGAGGAGUAAACGAGGCAUGCAUCCGAUUUCUGGAUUCUAUGGCUCGUUUGGCCUACCGCAACCGCGAAAUGUUUCCCCGAAAUGGGUCAGAGAGAAAGUGGCGGAGAGAGAGAGGAAGAAAGGUGGAAGAAAGCGAAAGAGACCGCGGCAAAAGCCGCAAAGAAUUUCAGUGUGAACCUGGAGCCGGAUAGUUUUUCUGAGGCUUUACAUAAAUUUCGCCGCAAGUUGGUUUCCAUUCAUCCUGAUAGGCAUCCCAACGCAACCGAAGCGGUCAAAGCGCAACUUACGACCGAAACACAAGCUCUUAUAGCCAAUUGGCAGAUUGUGCGCGAAUAUUUCUUUGCGAAGGAUGCCAGCCAACUGGAAGACGAAAUUCAGACGAAGACGAAAGACAUUCGCGCAUUGAGACCAGGUUGAUCUACCUGUAGUUCAUGUCCUGCACAUAGUAAACCGUUCAGUAAAUGAGUAAACUAUCCUAUCUGCCUCGGUGUCUACGUGCAUGAUCACACUACAUAUUAUUUGGAACCCAUUAACAUAUUACUUGUCCCAUUUUAUCAUUUCCUUGCUUAGAAUUUCCGCAGUUUCGUUUUGAUAAUUCGUUGCGUUACGAGGUUUGCCGCACCCGGCCGACGUCGUAAGCGCAUGCAAGUAAAGUUUCUAAGGGUAAACUGUAGUUGUAUAUGAUAUUAGUAUUCUCCUGUGUGUUGUUCCUGUUUUUAAUAAAACGUUUCGUUUGAUCUGCUAGUACACGUGUUCGUGCUUUGCUGCCUCUAUACGCGGAAGCA